AGCCGCUCUCGUAUAGGACUCUGACCGGUGGCGGUGACCGCACGUUUACCAGGUACUUUUAUUUUGAUUGCCCCCGGAAAAACGCGCGCAAUUUUCGGCGCAUCCCACGCCGCAAGUUCGACAAACUCGAUAAGCUCGUUACGAGUCGGCGGAGGAGAGUCGCGGCCUACGACAGCAUGUCCGGUUCCAACGCGCGCUGAUCCGCGCCAACCGUGCCAUCAACCGGGCCGGUUGAUACCAGGGCGAAGAAGAGUCGGC